AGUCAGCAUGGUGUAGUGGUUUGAGUGUUGGACUAUGAUUCUGGAGACCAGGGUUCGAUUCCCAGUUCAAUUA
rnacentral:tRNA from 1 species